GGUCAUGAGAGCCAGUGCAAAGCCCCGGCUAGCUGGACGGCAACCCUCCUGCAGCGGUGGGGUGCUCCGGGUGAGGACCGGGCUUCCGAGAGCCGGAAGCAAGCGCGCACG
rnacentral:ncRNA from 2 species